rnacentral:rRNA from 1 species
AAAUUGAAGAGUUUGAUCAUGGCUCAGAUUGAACGCUGGCGGCAGGCUUAACACAUGCAAGUCGAACGGUAACAGGAAUCAGCUUGCUGAUUCGCUGACGAGUGGCGGACGGGUGAGUAAUGUCUGGGAAACUGCCUGAUGGAGGGGGAUAACUACUGGAAACGGUAGCUAAUACCGCAUAAUGUCGCAAGACCAAAGAGGGGGACCUUCGGGCCUCUUGCCAUCGGAUGUGCCCAGAUGGGAUUAGCUAGUAGGUGGGGUAACGGCUCACCUAGGCGACGAUCCCUAGCUGGUCUGAGAGGAUGACCAGCCACACUGGAACUGAGACACGGUCCAGACUCCUACGGGAGGCAGCAGUGGGGAAUAUUGCACAAUGGGCGCAAGCCUGAUGCAGCCAUGCCGCGUGUAUGAAGAAGGCCUUCGGGUUGUAAAGUACUUUCAGCGGGGAGGAAGGGAGUAAAGUUAAUACCUUUGCUCAUUGACGUUACCCGCAGAAGAAGCACCGGCUAACUCCGUGCCAGCAGCCGCGGUAAUACGGAGGGUGCAAGCGUUAAUCGGAAUUACUGGGCGUAAAGCGCACGCAGGCGGUUUGUUAAGUCAGAUGUGAAAUCCCCGGGCUCAACCUGGGAACUGCAUCUGAUACUGGCAAGCUUGAGUCUCGUAGAGGGGGGUAGAAUUCCAGGUGUAGCGGUGAAAUGCGUAGAGAUCUGGAGGAAUACCGGUGGCGAAGGCGGCCCCCUGGACGAAGACUGACGCUCAGGUGCGAAAGCGUGGGGAGCAAACAGGAUUAGAUACCCUGGUAGUCCACGCCGUAAACGAUGUCGACUUGGAGGUUGUGCCCUUGAGGCGUGGCUUCCGGAGCUAACGCGUUAAGUCGACCGCCUGGGGAGUACGGCCGCAAGGUUAAAACUCAAAUGAAUUGACGGGGGCCCGCACAAGCGGUGGAGCAUGUGGUUUAAUUCGAUGCAACGCGAAGAACCUUACCUGGUCUUGACAUCCACGGAAGUUUUCAGAGAUGAGAAUGUGCCUUCGGGAACCGUGAGACAGGUGCUGCAUGGCUGUCGUCAGCUCGUGUUGUGAAAUGUUGGGUUAAGUCCCGCAACGAGCGCAACCCUUAUCCUUUGUUGCCAGCGGUCCGGCCGGGAACUCAAAGGAGACUGCCAGUGAUAAACUGGAGGAAGGUGGGGAUGACGUCAAGUCAUCAUGGCCCUUACGACCAGGGCUACACACGUGCUACAAUGGCGCAUACAAAGAGAAGCGACCUCGCGAGAGCAAGCGGACCUCAUAAAGUGCGUCGUAGUCCGGAUUGGAGUCUGCAACUCGACUCCAUGAAGUCGGAAUCGCUAGUAAUCGUGGAUCAGAAUGCCACGGUGAAUACGUUCCCGGGCCUUGUACACACCGCCCGUCACACCAUGGGAGUGGGUUGCAAAAGAAGUAGGUAGCUUAACCUUCGGGAGGGCGCUUACCACUUUGUGAUUCAUGACUGGGGUGAAGUCGUAACAAGGUAACCGUAGGGGAACCUGCGGUUGGAUCACCUCCUUACCUUAAAGAA